AUGUUGAAACAUUGGUUCCCAUACGAUCACCAAAGUUAAGCAACAUCAGGUCUGGUCAGUACCUAAACGGGUGAUUACUUGGGAAUACCACAUGCUGUAAG